CCUCCGGGAACAAAACAAUUGAAUUUACAAAAAUAAAGUGUUAUUUGACUGGAGUGAGGUCUCAUGUCUGCUUAUGCGGUGGCUCGCUGCUCAGAACAGGAUGGCAGAGAUGAGCACCACCAUCAAAAACUCAAGGACCAGUGCUGUGGGUCCAGUCAUCUGUUUCAUGGAAUUCACCAGUCUGGUAUCUUCAAAAUCCAGAAGGAUGAUGGCAGAUGGCAGGAAGGAGGAAGAGGGUAAUCUGGAAGAGUUUCCUGACCUACUCUGCUGCUGUGAUUAAACAACCACCAGGAAAUUUUGAUGACACUGUUCUCCUGAGCUCCUCCCUUUCCUCGGGGAAGAAAAGCAUUGAAACUACAAAAAUAAAGUGUUAUUUGGCUGGAGUGAGGUCUCAUGUCUGCUUAUGCGGUGGCUCGCUGCUCAGAACAGGCCUAGCUAGAUGCCUGGAAUUUCCCUUGAAGGAAGUCAAGAUUUUCCUUUAUCUCCAUACUGGCUGAUGGUGAUCGAGUAAGCCCCUAAGAGGGGUCCCUGCUCCAUCUCGAGAUGCUGCUAGAUUCUACAGUGCCUAAUAAACAGCUCUCGCCUGGCCGACAAAGAGCUGCUUGCUCUCUGGAUAGCAAUUCCAAAGUGAACAGACAACAUCCUGUUUGGAAGACUGCCACUCUGUUAGAAGAAGCAUCAGGAAAACCUUUCUUUUGAGCUAUUUAUAACUAACAGCAAUUGACCAAGUAUACUUUUGUGAGUGAAACUGACCUUUCUCCCUGAACCAUUGGAGAUACUCAUUACUCUUUGAAGGCUUACAGUGGAAUGAAUUCAAAUACGACUUAUUUGAGGAAUUGAAGUUGACUUUAUGGAGCUGAUAAGAAUCUUCUUGGAGAAAAAAAGACUGGGUAUAUUUUCAAUAUGCUUUCCUUUUAAGGUCCCUCACCUGUGGAAAGUAAAGAAUGUCACUUUCUGACAGGCUCAGGAACCUCAAGUUAUGUAGGGAUCUCAAGAAGAUGGGGGAAUUCACCCAGUUCAUACAGGUGAAAUUGCUGUUGCAAAGAUUAUGAAUAUGAGAGAAGUCCAGCAUGGCUGACUUCAUCUCGUGUCUGGCCUCAGGCUGGCUGCCCUUGCUCACUCUUGGGCAUAGGCCAAGCUAGCCAUGGGAGGAAUUUAGUUUAUAGUUUAACUUUGAAGCACGGAUGAUAAUAGUCUCUCCCUAAAAUGAACCCCUUCCUUGCUCAGGGACUGAAACUACCUUUGUAUGACAAAUGAAAGCCCACAAGAUUAAGAUUAUGAGAGGGGCCUGAAUUCUGCUAAAAUGCAGGUGUAGCUGACUGAUAACAAGUCAUUGUCCCACAGCUUGCCUUUCUAUAAUCUCUUGCUUCUCAGGAGUCACAUGGCCAGAGGUCCUGAGAUUUCCAGUCCUGUGACCCCCACCCAGAGAUGGACUUAGUGCAUGAGGACCAUUUUCCACACCCCUAUGAUUUCAUCCUCAAACAAUCAGCAGCAACCAUUCCCUAGCCCCCUGCCUUCCAAAUUAUCCAUAAAAAUCCUAGCCUCUGAGUUAUUAGGGAGAUUGAUUAAUAAUCCCAGUCCUACCCCUUGGGUUGCUCUGAUUUAAUUAAACCUUCUCUACUGCAAUACCACGGACUCAGUAAAUUGGUUUUGUCUGUGCAAUGGGCAAGAAGAACAUGUUGCAUGGUUAUACAGGUACUACAAGCACAGUCUGAUGGCAAAUUAUUGGUUUUGCUUCCUGCCCUUGAUGUUUCUAAACAUCUAGUCCAAAAUUACUUGUGAAAGGUCCAGCAAAGCCAAUUUUAAAAGAGGCUAUAUGGCCAAUCACUAUUCUUUCUACACAUUAUUGCAAAUAAUCAGGCCACGGCUGGGCACGGUGGCUCAUGCCUGCAAUCCCAGCACUUUGGGAGGCUGAGGCAGGAUCACCUGAAAUCAGGAGUUCAAGACCAGCCUAGGCAACAUGAUAAAACCCUGUCUCUACUAAAAAUACAAAAUUAGCCAGGCAUGGUGGCAUGCACCUGUAAUCCCAGCUACUUGGGAGACUGAGGGAGGAGAAUCACUUGAACCUGGGAGGCAGAGAUUGCAGUGAGCUGAGAUCACACCACUGCACUCCAGCCUGGGCAAUAGAGUGAGACUUUGUCUCAAAUAAUAAUAAUAAUAAUCAGACCAAGUAUAAUGAAAUUAAAAUUUAUUUUGCAAAUAAAUUGGUCCUACUACAAUUUAUCCUUCAUAGAAAUGUGGAAACUGAAGAUAAAAAAAAUUAGGUUUCAGAAGAAAACUAUACUACACCUGUUAUUAGAUUCUAGCCCUAAACAUUGUUUUUGAGGUUUUUAUUAUUUACCUGCAAUUUGGUCUAAAUUCUGAAUUAUUUCCUGACUACAAGUAUCCAAGGAAUAAAUGGGUUUUCUUUUUCUUUAUGAUAGUUUUAGUUGGCUUCUAAUGCAACAACAAUUUUUAUUGUAAUCCUGUGUGCAUUCUAUUCCUACUAUUCAAAUUAUUAAUGUUAUAGAUCUUUCAUUGUAGUACUUCUGAAUUAACCAAAAUCACAGUAUUCUGAAGAUGAUUCUACAAAGCCUGCUGUUUCUACAAAGGCUGCUGAUGAUUUCUACAAAGCCUGCUGUAGUGUUGCUGUGGCCUCUGCUUAAAAAAGUAGAAAACACAUUGAUGCAGCAUGUUCACCCCAACCUCCCUGCCUAAAGGCUCAGGGACCAUCUUGGAAGAGGAAGGCGCGUGAGAUUGUAAGAGCCGAAUUAGGGGGAUGGAGUGUGGAGAAUAAGGACACUUCAUCUUGGAUGCUCACCUGCCAAAUUGACUUCUGAUGAAAGCCAGCUCCAGAAAUGUGCCUACAGUUACUACUUUCACCUAAACCCUGCCCUUAGUCAAAUCCUUCUCUUCUUCUAAGCAAUCAACUUCAAUUCCUUGUAUAACCCACAGUAUAAAAGGGCUUUUAUACCAUUCUAUCCUAUUGCAUGUAAGCCUUGGGUCUGGGAGGUAACAGUGUGGGAUUCCACCAUCUCAUCUCCCUGCCACCCAAACAUGCCUGCUCUUCUUUAAGCAAUAUUAAAUGUUUGUACUUCAGAAA
rnacentral:lncRNA from 1 species